GUCAGAUGCUUAACUAACUGAGCCACCCAGGCACCCCAAGAGUAAGCAGAAUUUUAAGAAGUUUACCCUUUCGUGGUAGGGCUGUUUUCAGGCUUUUUAUAGAAUUUGCUGACCUGAUAUAACAGGCUUGUUACUAUAGGAGUCUCAGUUCCUUUGGUCACCAAGUAAGAGCAGGGGGCCUGUACUGAGCCACACACAACAGCCAGGCCUGGGGCGAGGCAACUCUGUCUGCACAGGCUUACAGUCAGGGGCAGGGAAGGGUGUAGGGGUGAGACCUCAACAGAAAGGAUUCCCCGUGAGCUGUGCUGAGUGACCAGGGGCUAUGGGAACUCAGUAGAAGGAAGAAAUGCUAAUAUUAGGUCCCUUUAUUGAAAGAAGACAUUUUAUGCAAGAAAUAGUCAGUGGUUGAGACUACCUUGAUUUGACCUAAUCUUUCCCCCAAUCAGCGAUCGUAAAGCAAUGCCAUAGAUUGAAUGUUUGUGUCACCCCAGAAUUCAUGUUAAAUCCUAACCUCCAAGGUUAGGUGUUAGGAGGCGGGCCUUUGGAAAGUGCUUAGGGUGAGGGUGGACCCCUCAUGAAGGAGAUUAGUGCCCUAUAGGAGAGACCUCGGAGAGCUCCCUUGCCCCUUCCACCAGGUGAGGACACAGUCACAGAUGUGGUCUGCGAACCAGGAAGCAGGUGCUCACCAGACAUGGAAGCUGCUGGCACCUUGAUCUUGAAGCUCCAGCCUCCAGAACUGUGAGAAACUCUGCAAAAGACCUGCCUUUGGAAGUUGGACAUGGUCAGACGCUGCCAGCUGUUUGGGAGAUGUGAGCUCAGCCUCGGGGGGAGAGCAAGAGAAUGCCCAAGGAUGGGAAAAGUUCUGGAAGGAUACUUGAAGAACAUACCCUUCCACUCUGACCCUGGGAGCCACCUCACCGAGAAGGGAAUGACAUUUCCAGGCCUCUGCUCCGAGACCCCUGUUACUGCGGGCUGCCUUCCAGACCACUUCGGGGAGCUACUAAGACUCGUGCCCACUCAGAAACAAGACAUCUCAGACAGUCCCAGAUGGCCACCAAGGGGCAAACCCAUUGUCCCCAAGCCCCUGCUACCCACCUCAGGCAGGCAGGGACUGGAGAGGUCAUGGCAUUGGUACCUUUCUAGGUCCUUGGGGAUGAGUGCAGAGGAAAGUCUUGUAAGAGACCAUGCUGGGCUUCUGAGCAAUGUGCGCCCCAAAUCCUUCUAUGUUUAAGUUGGUUUGCGUUGGGUUUCUGUCACUUGCAGCUACAGGAGUCUUCACGGGUACAGAGGCCAGCCACUUCCCGAGUUGCCAAGUGACCCAUUUAGGCCGUUCCUGCCUUAUCCGAUACCCCCCCUCCCCCUCCCCCGCCCCCGGCUGUGGUUUCUCCUCAUUCCGCAGCUCUGUCUCCCUUUCCUCCACCACUUAAACGAGUACUCAGGAAAGGACUGGCCGCUGUCAACUAUACUUUGAAAUUGCCCAUGGAAGUGAUUAUUGGAUGGGCCAGCCCCCCACCCCCACCUCCGGUCCUCCCUGGGUUGGAACUGUCACGUUCUAACUGCCCCGCAGAGACGAUUGUGCUCUGUGCCCGGAACAAGAGGAGUCCUGUCUUUCCCAGGGUCGAUGCACCUGCUUGGGUCUGCUGUUAGGCUGCACGUUGUUUGCUUACAGCUUUGUUGUUGUUGUUGUCGUUCUUUUUUUUUUUUAAAAACAAUUUGGCGCUUCUCAA